UGGGGAAUCUUGCGCAAUGGGCGAAAGCCUGACGCAGCCAUGCCGCGUGAAUGAUGAAGGUCUUAGGAUUGUAAAAUUCUUUCACCGGGGACGAUAAUGACGGUACCCGGAGAAGAAGCCCCGGCUAACUUCGUGCCAGCAGCCGCGGUAAUACGAAGGGGGCUAGCGUUGCUCGGAAUUACUGGGCGUAAAGGGAGCGUAGGCGGACAUUUAAGUCAGGGGUGAAAUCCCAGAGCUCAACUCUGGAACUGCCUUUGAUACUGGGUGUCUUGAGUGUGAGAGAGGUAUGUGGAACUCCGAGUGUAGAGGUGAAAUUCGUAGAUAUUCGGAAGAACACCAGUGGCGAAGGCGACAUACUGGCUCAUUACUGACGCUGAGGCUCGAAAGCGUGGGGAGCAAACA
rnacentral:rRNA from 1 species